AGCGAACGCUGGCGGCAGGCCUAACACAUGCAAGUCGAACGGAUCCUUCGGGAUUAGUGGCGGACGGGUGAGUAACACGUGGGAACGUGCCCUUUGGUUCGGAACAACUCCGGGAAACUUGAGCUAAUACCGGAUGUGCCCUUCGGGGGAAAGAUUUAUCGCCAUUGGAGCGGCCCGCGUCUGAUUAGCUAGUUGGUGAGGUAAAGGCUCACCAAGGCGACGAUCAGUAGCUGGUCUGAGAGGAUGAUCAGCCACAUUGGGACUGAGACACGGCCCAAACUCCUACGGGAGGCAGCAGUGGGGAAUCUUGCGCAACGGGCGAAAGCCUGACGCAGCCAUGCCGCGUGAAUGAUGAAGGUCUUAGGAUUGUAAAAUUCUUUCACCGAGGACGAUAAUGACGGUACCCGGAGAAGAAGCCCCGGCUAACUUCGUGCCAGCCGCCGCGGUAAUAC
rnacentral:rRNA from 1 species